rnacentral:rRNA from 1 species
AUGAACGCUGGCGGCGUGCCUAAUACAUGCAAGUCGCGCGAACAGACGAGGAGCUUGCUCCUCUGACGUUAGCGGCGGACGGGUGAGUAAAACGUGGAUAACCUACCUAUAAGACUGGGAUAACUUCGGGAAACCGGAGCUAAUACCGGAUAAUAUAUUGAACCGCAUGGUUCAAUAGUGAAAGACGGGUUUGCUGUCACUUAUAGAUGGAUCCGCGCCGCAUUAGCUAGUUGGUAAGGUAACGGCUUACCAAGGCAACGAUGCGUAGCCGACCUGAGAGGGUGAUCGGCCACACUGGAACUGAGACACGGUCCAGACUCCUACGGGAGGCAGCAGUAGGGAAUCUUCCGCAAUGGGCGAAAGCCUGACGGAGCAACGCCGCGUGAGUGAUGAAGGUCUUCGGAUCGUAAAACUCUGUUAUUAGGGAAGAACAAAUGUGUAAGUAACUAUGCACGUCUUGACGGUACCUAAUCAGAAAGCCACGGCUAACUACGUG